AUGAACGCUGGCGGCGUGCCUAAUACAUGCAAGUCGAGCGAACAGACGAGGAGCUGGCUCCUCUGACGUUAGCGGCGGACGGGUGAGUAACACGUGGAUAACCUACCUAUAAGACUGGGAUAACUUCGGGAAACCGGAGCUAAUACCGGAUAAUAUAUUGAACCGCAUGGUUCAAUAGUGAAAGACGGUUUUGCUGUCACUUAUAGAUGGAUCCGCGCCGCAUUAGCUAGUUGGUAAGGUAACGGCUUACCAAGGCAACGAUGCGUAGCCGACCUGAGAGGGUGAUCGGCCACACUGGAACUGAGACACGGUCCAGACUCCUACGGGAGGCAGCAGUAGGGAAUCUUCCGCAAUGGGCGAAAGCCUGACGGAGCAACGCCGCGUGAGUGAUGAAGGUCUUCGGAUCGUAAAACUCUGUUAUUAGGGAAGAACAAAUGUGUAAGUAACUAUGCACGUCUUGACGGUACCUAAUCAGAAAGCCACGGCUAACUACGUG
rnacentral:rRNA from 1 species